UAAGAGGUCCCGCCUGCCCUGUGACUAUACGUUCAACGGCCGCGGUAUUUUGACCGUGCGAAGGUAGCGCAAUCACUUGUCUUUUAAAUGGAGACCUGUAUGAAUGGCAUAACGAGGGCUUAACUGUCUCCUCCCCCAGGUCAAUGAAAUUGAUCUCCCCGUGCAGAAGCGGGGAUAAUCUCAUAAGACGAGAAGACCCUAUGGAGCUUUAGACACCAAGGCAGAUUAUGUUAAAACACCCUAAAUAAAGGAACAAACAAAAUAAGCCCUGCCCCUGUGUCUUUGGUUGGGGCGACCGCGGGGCAAUACAAAACCCCCAUGUGGAAUGGGAACAUAACACUACAGCCAAGAGCUCCCGCUCUAAGCACCAGAACUUCUGACCAAUCAGAUCCGGCAACGCCGAUUAACGAACCGAGUUACCCUAGGGAUAACAGCGCAAUCCCCUUUUAGAGUCCAUAUCGACGAGGGGGUUUACGACCUCGAUGUUGGAUCAGGACAUCCUAAUGGUGCAGCCGCUAUUAAGGGUUCGUUUGUUCAACGAUUAAAGUCCUACGUGAUCUGAGUUCAGACCGG
rnacentral:rRNA from 1 species